rnacentral:rRNA from 1 species
AGUGAACGCUGGCGGUAGGCCUAACACAUGCAAGUCGAACGGCAGCACAGGAGAGCUUGCUCUCUGGGUGGCGAGUGGCGGACGGGUGAGGAAUACAUCGGAAUCUACUCUGUCGUGGGGGAUAACGUAGGGAAACUUACGCUAAUACCGCAUACGACCUACGGGUGAAAGCAGGGGACCUUCGGGCCUUGCGCGAUUGAAUGAGCCGAUGUCGGAUUAGCUAGUUGGCGGGGUAAAGGCCCACCAGGGCGACGAUCCGUAGCUGGUCUGUGAGGAUGAUCAGCCACACUGGAACUGAGACACGGUCCAGACUCCUACGGGAGGCAGCAGUGGGGAAUAUUGGACAAUGGGCGCAAGCCUGAUCCAGCCAUACCGCGUGGGUGAAGAAGGCCUUCGGGUUGUAAAGCCCUUUUGUUGGGAAAGAAAUCCAGCUGGCUAAUACCCGGUUGGGAUGACGGUACCCAAAGAAUAAGCACCGGCUAACUUCGUGCCAGCAGCCGCAGUAA